AACCUGAUAGCACAGCGGAAAGUGCGUCUGCUUCCAUUACGGAUUUCCGACAGCAUUCAAAUAAGCAGAAGACCCCCGUUCGACUCGGGGUCGGGUUG